UACGGGGGGAGCAAGCGUUGUUCGGAUUUACUGGGCGUAAAGGGCGCGUAGGCGGCGCAACAAGUCACUUGGUGAAAUCUCCGGGCUUAACCCGGAGCGGUCAAGUGAUACUGUCGUGCUAGAGUCCGGAAGAGGCGAGUGGAACUCCUGGUGUAGCGGUGGAAUGCGCAGAUAUCAGGAAGAACACCAACGGGCGAAGGCAGCUCGCUGGGACGGUACUGACGCUGGAGACGCGAAAGCGUGGGGAGCGAACAGG
rnacentral:rRNA from 1 species